rnacentral:rRNA from 1 species
AGUGAACGCUGGCGGCGUGCCUAAUACAUGCAAGUCGAACGGAGCGGCGGGCGGGUGAGUAAUGCCUAGGAAUCUGCCUGGUAGUGGGGGAUAACGUCCGGAAACGGGCGCUAAUACCGCAUACUAUCAGAUGAGCCUAGGUCGGUUUAGCUAGUUGGGGGGGUAAAGGCCUACCAAGGCGACGAUCCGUAACUGGUCUGAGAGGAUGAUCAGUCACACUGGAACGGAGACACGGUCCAGGCUCCUACGGGAGGCAGCAGUGGGGAAUAUUGGACAAUGGGCGAAAGCCUGAUCCAGCCAGGCCGCGUGUGUGAAGAAGGUCUUGGGAUUGUAAAGCACUUUAAGUUGGGAGGCGUUACCAACAGAAUAAGCACCGGCUAACUUCGUGCCAGCAGCCGCGGUAAUUC